rnacentral:rRNA from 1 species
AGAGUUUGAUCAUGGCUCAGAUUGAACGCUGGCGGAAUGCUUUACACAUGCAAGUCGAACGGUAGAGGGGGCAACCCCUCGAGAGUGGCGAACGGGUGAGUAAUAUAUCGGAACGUGCCCAGUCGUGGGGGAUAACGUAGCGAAAGUUACGCUAAUACCGCAUACGAUCUACGGAUGAAAGCGGGGGAUCGCAAGACCUCGCGCGAUUGGAGCGGCCGAUAUCAGAUUAGGUAGUUGGUGGGGUAAAGGCUCACCAAGCCAACGAUCUGUAGCUGGUCUGAGAGGACGACCAGCCACACUGGAACUGAGACACGGUCCAGACUCCUACGGGAGGCAGCAGUGGGGAAUUUUGGACAAUGGACGCAAGUCUGAUCCAGCCAUUCCGCGUGCAGGAUGAAGGCCCUCGGGUUGUAAACUGCUUUUGUACGGAACGAAAAGGUCUCUCUUAAUACGGGGGGCUCAUGACGGUACCGUAAGAAUAAGCACCGGCUAACUACGUGCCAGCAGCCGCGGUAAUACGUAGGGUGCAAGCGUUAAUCGGAAUUACUGGGCGUAAAGCGUGCGCAGGCGGUUAUGUAAGACAGAGGUGAAAUCCCCGGGCUCAACCUGGGAACUGCCUUUGUGACUGCAUAGCUAGAGUACGGUAGAGGGGGAUGGAAUUCCGCGUGUAGCAGUGAAAUGCGUAGAUAUGCGGAGGAACACCGAUGGCGAAGGCAAUCCCCUGGACCUGUACUGACGCUCAUGCACGAAAGCGUGGGGAGCAAACAGGAUUAGAUACCCUGGUAGUCCACGCCCUAAACGAUGUCAACUGGUUGUUGGGUCUUCACUGACUCAGUAACGAAGCUAACG